rnacentral:ncRNA from 1 species
UAAAGGCAUGGUCCUGGCCUUAUUAUCAGCUCUCACCCCACUUACGCAUGCUAGUCACCGCAGUGCCGUGAGUUUGCCGUCAAUGCCCCGCCCGGGGACGUGGAGCGGGCGUCAGGCACAAUCUUUUUGCCCAACACGGCUGGCCUAGCCACACCCGCAAGGUCAUUCAGCUGUGAUCAACAUUCAGCCAUUAGUGAAGACUUGAGUCAGAUAGGGCUAAACGGGCCGGUAAAACACGUGCCUGCCACGGCGGUUGAACGAGCGGCCCUUGUUGAUAUAACCACGGCACAAAGGGAGGUUAAGGUGAGCAAGCCGAUUAUUAAAGGCCAAAUGGCCCAUUGGGCGUGCUACGCUUCAAGGAGCCCGAAGGCCACAUAUACGAAAGUAGCAUUAACAAAGCCCACGUGACCCCACGAAUGCUGAGAACCGAACUGGGAAUAGAUACCCGACUAUGCUCUGCCAUAAACCUCCACAUCCACCUACAAUUAGACGUCCGCCCGGACACUACGAGCGUCAGCUUGAAUCCCAAAGGACCAGUCGGUGGCUCAGUCCCCCGUAGAGGCGCCUGUACUAGAUCCGAUAACCCCCGUUAAGUCUCACCACUUCUUGCGAUCCCACCCUAUAUUCCGCCGUCGUCAGCUUACCCUGUGAAGGCAAUAAAAGUAAGCAAAAUGGGCACAACCCAGAUCGUCAGGUCGAGGUGUUGCGUACGCAGUGGGAAGAAAUGGGCUACAUAUUCUACCACAGAGCACUACGAAUAUUCAACAUGAACAAGUGCUAGAAGGAGUCUUUAGUAGUGAAAAGGAAGCAGUGUGUCCAUUUGAACCGGGCUCUGUGGCCCGUACACUCCGCCGAUCACUCUCCCGUGUCAAGACGCUAGCAAAGUUGUUUAACACUUAAGCACUGACAAGGGGAGCCAAGUCGUAACUGGUAAGUGUACCGGAUCGUGCAGUUGGAUUAAACC